UCCCUGGUGGCUCAGCUGGUAAAGAAUAUGCCUUCAAUGCAGAAGACCUGGGUUCAAUCCCCUGGCUGGGAA
rfam:TPA: Bos taurus chromosome 16, whole genome shotgun sequence.